UACAGAGGUCUCAAGCGUUGUUCGGAUUCAUUGGGCGUAAAGGGUGCGCAGGCGGCGCGGUAAGUCGGGUGUGAAAUCUCGGAGCUUAACUCCGAAACUGCAUUCGAUACUGCCGUGCUUGAGGACUGGAGAGGAGACUAGAAUUUACGGUGUAGCGGUGGAAUGCGCAGAUAUCAGGAAGAACACCCGUGGCGAAGGCGGCUCUCUGGGACGGUACUGACGCUGAGGAGCGAAAGCGUGGGUAGCAAACAGG
rnacentral:rRNA from 1 species